ensembl:lncRNA
GUAGAAAGGGACCUGAUAUUCAAUAAGCCAAGCUUAAGAUUUGUUUAUCUGUAUUGCACCUGUUUUUUUAUUUGUUGAACCUCAAAUUAAAUUGUUGCUCUUAAAUUGGUUUUGGACGUUUUUUGUAUUUUCUAGUUCGGGGAACAGACACAAUCUCUAUAGUGUCUAUAGUAUACUGUAUACUGUAGCUAUUGUGAUGCAAUGUGUCUCUGGUGUUAGGCCAGGCCCAGUUGGAGAAAUGGAGUUUCGAAAACCCAGAAAUUCAACAAGAAUUUCGUAUGAAAUUCUCUCUACAAGGCGCUGGAUGGGUGUACAAAGACUUUCCCCCUUCACUUGCACCCUUGGUAACAACAAUGGGCAUGUCAGCUGAUGUCCCGUUAGUCCAGUCUGCUUUUGGAGUUGUCCAGGCAGGGAGCGUGCUGUCAUUUCAGCAUAAACCACCAGCAAUGAGGGAAGUCUUCAACAUCCCAUCUGCCCCUGCCUCACCCUCCCUUCCCAUCCACAGCUACAGGCUCGAACCACCAUCCUGUGCCUAUGUUCUAUCAGAGAAGGAACAUCUGCACCUGAAGUCUCUGGAGAUGUCAUUCAACAUGGCCCACAGGAUAGAAGCUGCAACACAAGGGCAGAGUUCAUGCCAGGAGUGGCAUCGUUUGAGAAAGAUUAGAGUAAUGUCUACUCGCUUGCACGAGAUGUACCUGUACAUCUGCAGAGAAUCUGGCUAAGAGAAUUCUCAGGGGGACUGGUCAGAUCACGGACAUGAGGAGAGGUAUUGAUAUGGAGUCACUCGCUGUCAAAGAGUAUUGCACUCUUAAAAAUGUGAACUGUUCACCCUGCGGGUUCAUUGUACAUCCUGGCUAGGUAGCUUUCCUGAUGGAGUCAUUUUGAACCCUCUGGGAACCCACCAUUUGGUCUCCUUGAGGUCAAAUGUCCCAAUAUCCAGAGCUAUGUGGACUGCCCCUAUCUAAAAAUGUCCGGUGGUGCUUUGAAACUCAGGUAGGCAGCACAAGUACUACUGGCAAGUUCAAAGUCAGAUGCUCUUGACAGGGCUAGAGUGGUGUGAUUUUGUUGUUUGUGCUCAGAAAGACAUGUUAGUCGAGCAAAUUUAUAAAGAUCUUGAUGUAAUGCACACCAUUAGAGACAGAGCCUAUCAUUUUUUUCUUUUUCUUUAACUACAUACAGAAGUGUUUGCAGUAAGUCACUUCAAUGGCCUUGGGCAUAGUAUCUUUCAAUAAGUUUAAUCAGUUUCAAUCAGUUAAUCAAUCAGUUUCUAUCGGUUCAGUGAGUUCAGGUGUUAUUGUUUAUUUUUGCAAAUCUAUACAAUAUCUGAACUGAUUUAUUGUUCAUUUUUGCGAGUCUCUACAGUAUUCGAACUGAUCUGUUGUUCAUGUCUGCAAGUCUAUAUAAUAUCCAAACUGAUCUACUGUUCAUGUUAGGAACGCUAUACAAAAUGGAAAUUGUUACUUAGUAUACAGUACACAUACUGUUAUUACAAAUUUAUAAAGAUCUUGAUGUAAUGCACACCAUUAGAGACAGAGCCUAUCAUUUUUUUCUUUUUCUUUAACUACAUACAGAAGUGUUUGCAGUAAGUCACUUCAAUGGCCUUGGGCAUAGUAUCUUUCAAUAAGUUUAAUCAGUUUCAAUCAGUUAAUCAAUCAGUUUCUAUCGGUUCAGUGAGUUCAGGUGUUAUUGUUUAUUUUUGCAAAUCUAUACAAUAUCUGAACUGAUUUAUUGUUCAUUUUUGCGAGUCUCUACAGUAUUCGAACUGAUCUGUUGUUCAUGUCUGCAAGUCUAUAUAAUAUCCAAACUGAUCUACUGUUCAUGUUAGGAACGCUAUACAAAAUGGAAAUUGUUACUUAGUAUACAGUACACAUACUGUUAUUAUUUUACUGUUACACUGUAUACUGCUGUUGUUCACAGAUAUUUUUGUACUGUUACAUAACUGUGAGUGUAGACUAGCAUACAGUAGUACAGCUUUUCCCAAAGUGCCAAUGGACCAUCAAGUUACUGUUGAUGGGCUCUGACAGGGAUUUUGUGUACGUUUUUAUUUAUUUUCUUGGUUUAUUGCGAAGGAAUGUUGUAGGUAACAAAUGUAAUUCAUAAAUAUAACUUAUGACUCAAUAUUCAAAUAAAUAGAAAAUACUGUAUCUUAGUCUUGUCUUU